AUUGAACGCUGGCGGCAGGCCUAACACAUGCAAGUCGAACGAGUGGCGGACGGGUGAGUAAUGUCUGGGAAACUGCCUGAUGGAGGGGGAUAACUCCUGGAAACGGUAGCUAAUACCGCAUACCAUCAGAUGUGCCCAGAUGGGAUUAGCUAGUAGGUGAGUUAACGGCUUACAUAGGCCACGAUCCCUAGCUGGUCUGAGAGGAUGACCAGCCACACUGGACUUGCGACCCUGUCCAGACUCCUCCGGGAUGCAGCAGUGGGGAAGAUUGCACAAUGGGCGCAAGCCUGAUGCAGCCAUGCCGCGUGGAUGAAGAAGGCCUUCGGGUUGUAAAGUACUUUCAGCGGGGAGGAGUUACCCGCAGAAGAAGCACCGGCUAACUCCGUGCCAGCCGGCGCGGUAAUAC
rnacentral:rRNA from 1 species